GUCUACCGCCAUACCACUCUCAAUGCGCCUAAUCUCAUCUGAUCUCAAAAGCUAAGCAGGGUCAGGCCCAGUUAGUACUGGCCAGGCACGGUGGCUC
ensembl:rRNA 5S_rRNA 5S ribosomal RNA